rnacentral:rRNA from 1 species
CCUACGGGAGGCAGCAGUAAGGAAUAUUGGUCAAUGGAGGGAACUCUGAACCAGCCAUGCCGCGUGAAGGAUGACGGCCCUCUGGGUUGUAAACUUCUUUUGGAUGGGGCGAAAAAACGGGAUUUAUCCUGGACUGACGGUACCAUCAGAAUAAGCACCGGCUAACUCCGUGCCAGCAGCCGCGGUAAUACGGAGGGUGCAAGCGUUAUCCGGAAUCACUGGGUUUAAAGGGUGCGUAGGCGGUUGUAUAAGUCAGGGGUGAAAGGAUGCAGCUUAACUGUAUAAUUGCCUUUGAUACUGUAUGACUUGAAUAAGGUUGAGGUUGGCGGAAUGUGACAUGUAGCGGUGAAAUGCUUAGAUAUGUCAUGGAACACCGAUUGCGAAGGCAGCUGACUGGGCCUUUAUUGACGCUGAGGCACGAAAGCGUGGGUAGCGAACAGGAUUAGAUACCCUGGUAGUCCACGCCCUAAACGAUGUAUACUCGUUGUUUGAGAGUAAUUUUGAGCGACCAAGCGAAAGCGUUAAGUAUACCACCUGGGGAGUACGCCCGCAAGGGUGAAACUCAAAUGAAUUGACGG